rnacentral:rRNA from 1 species
UGGGGAAUAUUGCACAAUGGGCGCAAGCCUGAUGCAGCCAUGCCGCGUGUAUGAAGAAGGCCUUCGGGUUGUAAAGUACUUUCAGCGGGGAGGAAGGGAGUAAAGUUAAUACCUUUGCUCAUUGACGUUACCCGCAGAAGAAGCACCGGCUAACUCCGUGUCAGCAGCCGCGGUAAUACGGAGGGUGCAAGCGUUAAUCGGAAUUACUGGGCGUAAAGCGCACGCAGGCGGUUUGUUAAGUCAGAUGUGAAAUCCCCGGGCUCAACCUGGGAACUGCAUCUGAUACUGGCAAGCUUGAGUCUCGUAGAGGGGGGUAGAAUUCCAGGUGUAGCGGUGAAAUGCGUAGAGAUCUGGAGGAAUACCGGUGGCGAAGGCGGCCCCCUGGACAAAGACUGACGCUCAGGUGCGAAAGCGUGGGGAGCAAACAGG